GCCUUCGUGGUGUAACGGUAACACACUCGGAUCAUAUUUGAGAGGUCCAGGUUGAAGUCCAGGCAAGGACA
rnacentral:tRNA from 1 species